AUUGAACGCUGGCGGCAUGCCUUACACAUGCAAGUCGAACGGUAACGGGCCUUCGGGUGCCGACGAGUGGCGAACGGGUGAGUAUGCAUCGGAACGUACCCAUUAGUGGGGGAUAACUCUCCGAAAGGAGGGCUAAUACCGCAUAUUCUGUGAGCAGGAAAGCAGGGGAUCGCAAGACCUUGCGCUGAUGGAGCGGCCGAUGUCAGAUUAGCUAGUUGGUGAGGUAAAGGCUCACAAAGGCGACGAUCUGUAGCGGGUCUGAGAGGAUGAUCCGCCACACUGGACCUGGGACACGGUCCAGACUCCUACGGGAGGCAGCAGUGGGGAAUUUUGGACAAUGGGGGCAACCCUGAUCCAGCCAUGCCGCGUGGGUGAAGAAGGCCUUCGGGUUGUAAAGCUCUUUCGGCCGGGAAGAAAUCGCAUGGGUUAAUACCCUGUGUGGAUGACGGUACCGGAAUAAGAAGCACCGGCUAACUACGUGCCAGCAGCCGCAGUAA
rnacentral:rRNA from 1 species